rnacentral:rRNA from 1 species
UUUAUGGAGAGUUUGAUCCUGGCUCAGGAUGAACGCUGGCGGCGUGCCUAAUACAUGCAAGUCGAGCGAACAGAUAAGGAGCUUGCUCCUUUGACGUUAGCGGCGGACGGGUGAGUAACACGUGGGUAACCUACCUAUAAGACUGGAAUAACUCCGGGAAACCGGGGCUAAU